UACGUAGGGAGCAAGCGUUGUCCGGAAUCAUUGAGCGUAAAGCGCGCGUAGGCGGCCCCGUAAGUCCGCUGUGAAAGUCAAAGGCUCAACCUUUGAAAGCCGGUGGAUACUGUGGGGCUAGAGUACGGAAGAGGCGAGUGGAAUUCCUGGUGUAGCGGUGGAAUGCGCAGAUAUCAGGAGGAACACCAAUAGCGAAGGCAGCUCGCUGGGACGUUACUGACGCUGAGGCGCGAAAGCGUGGGGAGCGAACAGG
rnacentral:rRNA from 1 species